GGCGGUCGAAAUCAGCGCCUUCACGUGGCGACCGCCGUGAGUAGUUGUGCGAAAGCGCAAUGAAACUAAGCUGAA
rnacentral:ribozyme from 1 species